rnacentral:lncRNA from 1 species
UUGGUGGAUUCCUUCAGCGAAUGGAUCUUGCAAGGAAAUAUGCUUUUGGAAAGAUGUUGAUUAUUGGAAACGAGCCUCCAUUCAAGGUCAAGGGUUUGUGGCUUUUCCGUGGGACUGAAAUCCCAAAAUUUGUGAUGGAUGAGUGUUAUGACAUGGAGCUUUACGAGUGGACCAAGGUUGACCUUUCUGACGAGGCACAAAAGGAGCGUGUGAAUCAGAUGAUUGAAGAUUUUGAGCCUUUUGAGGGUGAAACUCUCUUGGACACCAAGUGCUUCAAAUGAAGGGAAAGUGUUGAUAGACAGAUACCUAUCUUGAUCCAUCUGGUAUUGUUUGUGUAAAACAAAGACCAUAAUAUAGUGAUAUGCAAAGUUCAAGGUGUCCCACAAGCAUGUUUGGCAAUUUUUACGACUACAAAAGAUGUGCUAUAUUGUAAUAUCGAUAUAGUAAGCAAAAUGUGAAAUGAAAAGCAACUAGCAACCCAUUUAAUGCUAUGCAUUUCAAGUAAGAAAGCAAAAGGUGAAUGUAAAGCAAGACAUUUUGUUGUAGCCCUAAAAAUACUUUGACGUUAAUGUUACCAAGUGUAGCAUGUGUAAUAUAUAUUAGUCUAUGCGAUUGAUUUGUGUGACCAACAUCAAUAAUUUUAGACUCAAAGUUGAAGCUCCAGAACUGGUAUUUCCUCUUGUAAUUAGGCUCAUUUAGUAGCGUUGAGGAAAGAAACUUUUGUAAUCAUACGCUUAAUGCACCGGCUUAAAGCUCCAUUGGUCAAGAUGCUUACAACUGGUACCUGUUAAUGGCUGAGUUCCAUGAUUUUGGGUCUAGAUUGAUGCGACUCUCUCAAAGUUUAAAAAACUUUAUAGAAAAUUUUCAGGCAUUGUUGUGUGUAAUUGUAUAUGCACAAGCGAGUAAUUUAUUUUUCACGAGUGUUAGCAUUAUCUAGUCACACUUCGUAACAUACGAUUUUAGGUAGAGUUGUCUGUAGAAAAAAAAAUGACCAUCAAGGCAUACGUCCAUGUAAUGCUCUUGUCUUAUGUAUGUUGUGGCCAUGACAAUGAAGAGUCGUGGUUUCAUGUUAAAGGAUACAAACUGUAUUUUCAACACGAGAAGAUUGCAUUACAUUAAUAAGAUUUUGAGUUUUAUUUUGUAUUGGAUAUUAUAGACCAACUAGCUAGAUAACUCCAAUUAGUUGGUCUAUAAAUUAUGUAUUUCCUUUUCAUUUCAUCUGAUAAUAAUAUAAAACCCUAAUCGUUCUAUAUCUUUUAUUUUAUUUUGUUCACAUUCAUUUUGAGAGAUACGCAUAGAUGCAGAUGAUAUUGAGAAAUUAAAUAUCCUCUUACUUUUUGUUCCUACAUAUCUUCUACCCAAUAAAAUGUAACAUUUAAUGUUAAUUUAAUGAUUUCUAAUGAUAUUUUAGGAUACUAAUAUGACACAUGUCAUCAUUUAAAUGGGUAGGAGUAUUAAUAUGAACAAAUGAUAGGUGGAUAUUUAAUUUCUCGAUGAUAUUAGCCGGUUUACCUUUUGCAUUCCUUCCGUCCCAUUAGAUGAUAAAUAUCGACUAACAUGCAAACAUUUUGCAAAUUUAGGCAACAUUCAUUGGUUUUUACUAAAAAGUACCACAAGUUAUUAAAUACUACAUUUAUAUUAUCUAAAAAUAAAUGUUUUUUUUAUUUGUAAAUUUUCAUCAUGGUUUUAAUCUUACAGUAAUACAAGAUCCUCUACCAAACAAUAAAGAAUAAAUUACAAGUACAUUUAGAUAGUACCCUUUAUCACACAAAGAGAAUAAAAGAAGAUUAUAGUAAUAUAAUAUCCGAUGUGAAACAAAAAGAGCAUAAUAACAUCACAACAAAAUAAUACUAUCUACCACACAAACAAAAUACAAUACGAUUACUGUAAGAAAUACCCUAUGUCAUAUGGAAUGAAAACAAUAAGAUUUCAAUAAGACAAGUACUUUAUAAGACAAAGAUAAUACUAUAAGACUAUAGUUGGAUUCAAUCAUAUAUCAAUAACAAAGAGAAGAUAGUAAGAUAAUAUUCUUUUUUCUCCGUUAACAAAAUCAAUGACUUUAUUGUUAAUUAGUCCAUAAUAUAAGGACUUUUUUGAAGAUUACUAUCUAAAAUCCUAAAGUUAUAAACGAUUGUUGGUUUCUUGUCAUUUCAUGUAAAUAAUUGAUUGGUUUUGUUUGACCAUUACAAAUUUUAAUUUAAUAUUUGGAAAUCAAAAUGAAAAAAAUAAUUACUCAAAAUAAUAAAACUUUAAAGGUGAUAUAUAAUAAAAGGAAAUCUUUAAUAAAGUCUCAAUAUUUUGAACCAAUUUACAAUUUUGUCCAAUCUUUUAUUUUCUGAACAUAAAAGUUUCGAUUAUUUUAUAUUUUACUCAAACUAACGAAACAAUCCUUAUUUUUUUACAACAGAAAAUGACAAAUUAUCGUAUAAAAUUAGAUAAUCAGGACUUUUCUAUUCAAAAAGUAAAUGUUAUGAUUAAACCGUAAACAGACCCAAAAUAUUGAGGCUUUAUCGGAAAUUUCCUUAUAAUAAAUGAAUAAAAUUGAAACAUUAUUAAACAAAAAGAGUUAAUUCUACAGAACAUAAAACUAAAAUAAGUGAGUAGGAUAAAAAUGGUUGAUAGUAUUGACCCAAAAAUAAUUGACUAUAAUAAUAAAAAAAAAAAAAAACACUUUUUAGGUGAUUUUUAAUAUUCAGUAAAAAAAACUUUCAAUGGAGAUGAUAAGUUAGAACAAAUCAUUUUAAUUCAUUUUAAGGUUAUUUUGAGUAAUUAUUUUGACCAAAUGCAGCGAACGGGUCGCAGGUCAACCCACAACACAUGUAUUGAUCUCUAAAGUACAAGAUCAUGCCAAAUACAUUAAAAAAAACUACAAUACCAAAAAGUGUAGUUCGAUUGUCAAACAACAAUUGUUCAUAAAUUGAUGAAUUCAAACACGCCACGAUCAUUGAUACUGAACUCGCAAUCACUUAGCAUAUAAAAUUUGCUAUCAUUAACAAGAGCAUGAUAAUUUUUUUACAAUAUCAAAUAAUGAUGUUUAAUGUCAUGUAAUAGACUAAUAAUAAAGUAAAUUUACUACAUUAAGUUAAUUUAUAUAGAAAUAAGAAAAAUGUAACAUUGCAUUUGAAAAGUCAAACAUGUUUUCUAAAGGGAUAAUAACUUAAAACUCCCAUAGUCUUCAUCCAAGAAAAGUAACGAGUCCCGUUCGGUGGAAGGGCUCUCUAUGGCUAACUGGCUCGGAGGUAUUAUAUAUAUAUAUAUAUAUAUAUAGUCAUUUAUGUUUUUUUUAUAUAUUUAAUCACUUAUCUUUUUUAUUUUGUACACAUAUAACCAUUACAUUUAAUGAUCAUAUAUGUACAAAAUAAAAAACAUUAGUUACCCUUUAAAGCAUUAUCCUUUUUCUCUGUAUCAUCGUAAUCAAAUUCUUCUUCCAAUUCUUAUUUAAUCACCUAAAAGUUUGUCUUAUUAAUUCAUUCAUAGUAAACUAGUUUUUUAUAACGGCUUUAAGACAACAAUUUAAUCGGUUUAUUGCGUAACAGGUCGGUCCAAUCCAAUUUGUAAAUAACAAAAGGGAUUUAAAGCCAAAAACAAUAUUUUCUAAGACAAAAAUGUGAAAUGAUUUAAUUAUAAAAAAUAUUCUUUAUAACUCAUAUAUUUUAUAUUUUUUAAUAAGAAAUAUUCUCUAUAAUUAAUGAAUUAAAUAGUAAUAUUCACCUAUAUAUGUAUGGUACAUGUUUAUAAAAUCUGAUAACCAAAUAUCACUCUUAAAUGACCGUUAUUUUUUACCGUUCAAUAUCCAACUGGUCGACCAACCUGGUUAACCCGGGUUUUAAAACAUUGUCUUAACUCUUAACCCUAACAAAGUUCGUCUCACUCUCUUUAAACACUGAUACACUCUUGGAUUUUCUUUGUUACUCUAGAUCGAUAUCAAAAGGCGGAUCAUUCCUUUGUUCCUCUUGUCAUUUAAGCAAUGGUGCUGGUGAGUUUUUGUUGCUUUGUGUUAGUUUUAAUUAGUUGAUGCUUUUCUUAAGUGGAGUUUGUUAUGAAUCUCUUGUUUUAUAUACAAAUCGUACAGAUGUGGGUUUUGAUGUGCAUUUUUCGUAGAUUGUUUUGUUUAGUUUACUGAUUUUAACUUUCUCCCUCUUUUUCGUGAUUUGAAGAACUCACCAGGACUCCAAUCAUUCACUUCAGCUACUCUAAUCUUCGACAUUGCUGUGUUUUGCCUUUUGUGUAAUCAAUCGAUCAUGCUUUGGCUCUGUAGUUAUAGUCGUGCUGGGCAACGGGUCCAAACGGGUUAGGGUUUAGAACAUUUAGAAUAUGUCGGAGCUUAAGCAAUAUGUUUCUAUUUAGCAUGAUUAUUUGCUCUAUUCUGAAUGUUAUUUGUGGUUAUAUCAGCAUUUUCAACCUUAUGUUCUCUAUUCUGGUACGCACUUAAUUUUCUGUUUUGUUGAAGUUAUUUUAAUUGUUAAAACUUCUGUUGUUGUUGUUGUUGUUGUUGUUGUUGUUGGCUUUAUCUUUAUGCUACUUUGUGGGGUAGAAUAGAUGUCUUAGCUUUUGAUAUAUGAGAUGUGAGGCUCUAUUGUUGGUUUGAGAUCCUUUGAUAUUUAUAUUCUUGAGUCAACUGAUUCCUUUCCAUUUGAUGUAUUGUGCUUGUUACAGAUUAUACAUUCAGAAUUAAACAAGAAUGUUUGCAAGGCAUUAAUUGCUGCAGAAUAUGUUGAUGUUGAAGUCAAAAUGGCUGAAAAUUUUCAAAUGGGCAAGUCAAAUAAGACUCCUGAGUUUCUUAAGUUGAACCCUCUUGGAAAGGUAUUGUUUUAUGGUUUAAUCUUAUUUAUACUUCCUACAAAAAUUCAAUACUUUUUUUUUUUUAAAUUUUUUACACCAUAUGAUUUGCAGGUUCCUGCGCUUGAGACUCCCGAGGGGCCUAUAUUUGAGAGUAAUGCAAUUGCUCGCUAUGGUGAGGGACAAAAUAGUCAUUAACAUUUCUAAUCUUUUUUUUUUUUAAUUAUUAUUAUGGUGAUGGUUCUUAUUUUGUCAUAUUGUUUGUUGAAGUUGCUCGUUUGAAGCCUGAAAAUACUCUCUUUGGAUCUUCACCGAUAGAAUAUGUAAGUUUUUUUUGUGUUCUUUUCUCAUGAAUCAUGAUGAAGGAAUAAUGAUACUUCUAUAUAAAAAAGUUUGUUUAAUUUUAGAAAAAUAUUUUAUACAGGGCCAAAUUGAGCAGUGGAUUGACUUUUCUGCAUUGGAGCUUGAUGCAAAUAUGAGAGCAUGGGUCUUUCCAAGACUUGGAUAUGCCACAUACAUCAAAUCUGUUAGUUACUCCUGCUCUUUUCUUUUUGUUUUUUUUUUAAUAUUAUUCUUUUGCUCGUUUGAUAUUUUUUUUUUGAAAUGGUCUAUAUGAUAAAUCUGUGUGUAUGCAUGAUUUGAAGGCUGAGGAGAGUUAUAUAUCUGGUGUGAAAAGAGGUCUUGGUGCUCUAAACACGCAUCUUGCUUCACGUACUUUUUUGGUUGGUGAUUCCGUGACUUUGGCUGACAUCAUCAUGACAUGCAACUUGGUGAAUGGUUUUAAAUUUUUGUUUACAAAGAGUUUCACUUCUGAGUUUCCUCAUGUUGAGAGGUAUUUCUGGACCAUGGUUAAUCAACCAAACUUCAGUAAGAUAAUUAAAAGAAUGGGGGAAGUCAAGCAAGCAGAAGUUGUUCUUCCUUUUACUUCCACCAAGAAACCAGAGUCCAAACCAAAAUCUGAACCUAAAAAAGAAGAAGCCCCUAAGCCCAAGCCUGAACCCGAAGCUGCCCCAGAAGAGGAAGAGGCACCCAAGCCUAAGGCAAAGAAUCCUCUUGAUUUAUUGCCUCCAAGUCCAAUGGUUUUGGAUGACUGGAAAAGGCUUUACUCUAACACCAAAACUAACUUCCGUGAGGUUGCAAUCAAAGGUAUUUUCUUUUUUGACUUUUUUUUAAAAAAAAAUAUAUAUCUUCUUCUCAGACAACAGUUGGCUGAUAUAUUUGUUGAUUUUGUUGCAGGUUUUUGGGACAUGUAUGAUCCAGAGGGCUACUCUCUGUGGUUUUGUAACUACAAGUACAAUGAUGAGAACACUGUCUCAUUUGUGACAAUGAAUAAGGUUGGUGGAUUCCUUCAGCGUAUGGAUCUUGCAAGGAAAUAUGCUUUUGGAAAGAUGUUGAUUAUUGGAAACGAGCCUCCAUUCAAGGUCAAGGGUUUGUGGCUUUUCCGUGGGACUGAAAUCCCAAAAUUUGUGAUGGAUGAGUGUUAUGACAUGGAGCUUUACGAGUGGACCAAGGUUGACCUUUCUGACGAGGCACAAAAGGAGCGAGUGAAUCAGAUGAUUGAAGAUUUUGAGCCUUUUGAGGGUGAAGCUCUUUUGGAUGCUAAAUGCUUCAAAUGAGGGAAAAUGCUUCUAAGAUUACAACUUAACGGAUUUCCAAUAACAUGUGAAAAUUAUUGAAGAUUACAUCAAUUUUAGGGCCGUUUACACAUAGAAUGUUCUGUAAAUAUCUAGAUAUCAAACUUGAUGAUUCGUUGAUGUAUUAUGGCAUGUACUUGGAAAUAUGUGUUUCGUUCAAUGAUUGAACCCAACUCGUAAGCAUUAUCACUCCAAAUGAUCUUAAUUAGAGAUACAUAUUGAGUUUAAUGAGUGAAAUAAAUGCUUUAGGGAGAAAGGAUGCAUCACUAUUACUUUUCAACAGAUGUACCUAUUUAUGUCGUAUGUGUAUCUGUACAUGAAUUUGGUAAAAAAGUUUUAGCUGAAUGAGAGAUACUUUUUGGAAAGGACAAACGAUGUUGUCUAGCUUGAGAACAAAUGAUACAAGAGUCAAGACAUGCAUGGCCAUAUAAAGAAAGAUUGUGUAAAAUUUUCUUAAAUUUGUCAAGAGGAACAUGACCAAAACGUCAACGUCACAUAACCAAAAUGUUGAUGUCACGUAGUAAAGAAACAUAAGGAAAGACUUGUUUUGAUCUCAUUGUGAUAAUAAAAUAAAAUAAAAUAAAAUAAAAUAAAAAAGUCAUUUAUUUUUUGUGGAAAUUUGCCUUCCAAUAUAUUCAAGUCAUCAAUAGUUCAAGGGUUAAAAGAUGUAACUUGUUCUUAUGUAAAUUAAAGAGAACACUGUAGGGAAUCAUUGAGUGUCAAAUUGCAUUUAAUCCAUAUUUUCAAUUUUUAACUAGUAACAUCCCAUAUCUAUAUCUAUAUCUAUAUGAUACAUACUUAUAAAGCU